rnacentral:rRNA from 1 species
AUGAAGUCGGAAUUGCUAGUAAUCGCGGAUCAGCAUGCCGCGGUGAAUACGUUCCCGGGCCUUGUACACACCGCCCGUCACACCAUGGGAGCCGGUAAUACCCGAAGUCAGUAGUCCAACCACGUGAGGACGCUGCCGAAGGUAGGAUUGGCGACUGGGGUGAAGUCGUAACAAGGUACC